rnacentral:rRNA from 1 species
GACGAACGCUGGCGGCGUGCUUAACACAUGCAAGUCGAACGGUAAGGCCCUUCGGGGUACACGAGUGGCGAACGGGUGAGUAACACGUGGGUGAUCUGCCCUGCACUUCGGGAUAAGCCUGGGAAACUGGGUCUAAUACCGGAUAGGACUCCUGGCUUCAUGGUUGGGGGUGGAAAGCUUUUGCGGUGUGGGAUGGGCCCGCGGCCUAUCAGCUUGUUGGUGGGGUAAUGGCCUACCAAGGCGACGACGGGUAGCCGGCCUGAGAGGGUGACCGGUCACACGGGGGCUGAGAUACGGCCCAGACUCCUACGGGAGGAAGCAGUGGGGAAUAUUGCACAAUGGGCGCAAGCCUGAUGCGGCGACGCCGCGUGAGGGAUGACGGCCUUCGGGUUGUAAACCUCUUUCAGCUAUGACGAAGCGCAAGUGACGGUAGUAGCAGAAGAAGGACCGGCCAACUACGUGCCAGCCGCCGCGGUAA